UACGUAGGAGGCGAGCGUUGUCCGGAGUUAUUGGGCGUAAAGGGUGCGUAGGCGGUGCGGUAAGUCUGUAGUGAAAUCUCUGGGCUCAACUCAGAGUCUGCUAUAGAAACUGCCGUGCUUGAGUGUGGGAGAGGUGAGUGGAAUUCCCGGUGUAGCGGUGAAAUGCGUAGAUAUCAGGAGGAACACCUGUGGUGUAGACAGCUUACUGGACCACUUCUGACGCUGAGACACGAAAGCGUGGGUAGCAAACAGG
rnacentral:rRNA from 1 species